rnacentral:lncRNA from 1 species
AAAAAAAAAAAAAAAACACUCUUUGCGUGUCUCUCAAAAAAAAAAAAAAAAAAAACUCUUUGCAUCUCUAUCAAACCCAAAAAAGAAAAGAAAAACAACACUCUUUGCAUGUCUCUAAAAAAAAAAAAGAAAAAAUUCAAAAAAAUAGCCCCGAAUAGAGAGUUUUCAUUCAAAAAAACAGUUCCAUACAUAUUAGAAAGAUCAACAUAUUUAUUGUCAAGUUACACUUAUCCAAAUGAAAAUUAAAAGAAGAGUUGUUCCGAUAUAGACCUUAGAGCAACUCCAUCGAGGAGCCCAAGCCCGGGGCUGGGGGGAGUCCAAGCCAAAAAGCCAGUUCCAGCGGGCCACUUUUGCCCGGGUUGGAGGCGGGACCCAUAAAGAUGGGCUAGCCCAAAGGCAACUCUUGCCCGAGUUCGAGCUCGAGGGGGGGAUGAUGUCAUCAUGCGUUGACGUCAAUCCUGUGCUCCACCAACAGCUAGAGGACAUAUAUUGUCGUCUGGGCACUCCGAUCGCCUGCUCUCCUCUAAUCCAAUGGCUGGG